UACGUAGGGGGCAAGCGUUGUCCGGAAUCAUUGGGCGUAAAGAGCGCGUAGGCGGCCCAGUAAGUCCGCUCUGAAAGUCAGGGGCUCAACCCCUGGAUGCGGGUGGAUACUGCUGGGCUAGAGUCCGGAAGAGGUGAGUGGAAUUCCUGGUGUAGCGGUGAAAUGCGCAGAUAUCAGGAGGAACACCAGUGGCGAAGGCGGCGACCUGGGAAGAUACUGACGCUGAGAUGCGAAAGCGUGGGGAGCAAACAGG
rnacentral:rRNA from 1 species